rnacentral:tRNA from 1 species
AGAUUGGUAGCUUAAUGAAGGUAAGUGCGUGUUUUGAAACCGCAAAUAUGAGGGUUCGAAUCCCUACCAAUUAA